ensembl:lincRNA Gm15675 predicted gene 15675
AGUAGGAAAAAUAAGUGAGCAUGAGAGAUCUUGAAAGAAUCAGAAAUGCAGAAUCCAGGAGUGCUAUACCCACUUCAGUAGUGACUUGCAUGACAGGACUAGAAACCUGCACACAGUCCUGAGGCAAAAAGUUCAUAAAACUUAGUAUCCUGGAACCAUGGCAUCCCAUAUAAUGAAUGCUCCAAACUUGUGCUUGCGAAUGUAUCUUUGUGCUUGCUUUCAGUAUUGUUUUAUGAUGGGUGUCUCCAAGCAAUGGCUUGCCAAAUACCUAAGCAAAAUUGAACCUUGGUUCCUGGCCUUCACCCAUGCCCUAGAGAGUCCUUGAACCUACCCUAGGCUUGGAAUUCAGUAAGAAUGUUGCCUAUUCAGUGUUAUUCAGUAUUGCCUCUAAUAUUGUAAGAGAGAUAGUGAAAGAAAUCAGGCAUUAACUACUACAUAAGAGUUAGAAAUCUCAGGGCAAGCUUAGCAAAGCAAGUUUAGAAUUCUUACUAUAGUUAUGUAUGUCAGACUACUUAUUAGUAGAAAGUCCCCCCACAUAAUCACUUAGAAUAAAAACCAAGCAUCACAUAUACAGGAAUUUACAAUGGUUUAGGAAGUAGAUCAGGCUGUGAUUUGAGGAGAAAUUAGUAUAUUGCAUUAUUUUUGAGAAGGUUAGCUAGAGCAGAACUUCCUAAUUAGAACCAUGACUUGGGCAUGAAAGCCCUUGCCCCGGGAGUGUAAAGACCUUACACCUGGCUUCUAAGAAUAUGGCUGACCUUAGAUAGAGCUGACUUUGUCUCAGUUGUUUUAUUGCCCAGUUCCUGCCAGUCUUUAUGUUUGCAUUCCUCUGUUUUGUGUAAGGGUCAUUAAGCAUCCAGUAACCUCAUUGUAUCUUGCUGAUGUGUCACCUAACUUCCCUAUUUUCUUCUGUAUUAAAAGUCUGGUGUUCAAUUUGACAGAUUGCAUUCAGAUACAGCACAUUCCCUUGUGUCCCUAUUUAUUUGUCAUUUCUUGCCGACUCCUGCCCAUCUGACCAGGACCCUGAUUUCUCCUGUGGAUUGAGGGGGCUUGGCUGAGGACAAGGCGCCUGAACAGGAACCCUGCACAGGGACAUCUGAGGAAGGAUUGUAAAAAUCCCUCGGGAAACAAGAAGGGCCUCCUCCAUGUCUCUGCUCACGCUGUGGUGAAGAGAACCUUGGCGGAAUGAAUGUAAAUCAAAGUCCCAUAAAGAUGGGACUCUGCUCACUAAAGAAGCAGAAUGCUACAGGAGCAUGCUAGCUCCCACAGUGAUUGGUGAGAUAUGUUGAUGCUGGGACAAAGAACGAUGCUGACCUGUGAGCUUGCAGAGUUUCCUGACAAUGAAGACAGGAAGGCUGUUUUGGACAUAAGUUCCUGAUCUCAGAUUGGACAAGCUGCCUUGCUUCAAACUUUUAGACCUUGUGGGACUAAGAACAUGGAGACUGGAAACUGCCUUCAACAACUUAAUCAAAAAGAGAAGUUAUGAUGACUCUUCUCUUUCCUUUAAUGUGACCAGUUAUUCAUAUUUAGUCAUGGACUGUUCUAAUAAUCAAUCCAAUAUUAGAAAUUGUUAUUUCUUUAUUUGGAAGGUGUAUUAGUCAGGGUUCUCUAGAGUCACAGAACUUAUGGAUAGUCUCUAUGUAGUAAAGGAAUUUAUUGAUGACUUACAGUCUGCAGUCUAGUUCCCAACAAUGGUUCAGUAGUAGCUGUGAAUGGAAGUCCAAGGAUCUAGCAGUUACUCAGUCUCACAGGGCAAGCAGGCAAAGGAGUGAAAACGAGACUCCCUUCUUCCGAUGUCCUUAUAUGGUCUCCAGCAGAAGGUGUAACCCAGAUUAAAGGUGUGUCCUUGAACUCAGAGAUCUCCCUGUCUUAAUCUUCUGGAAUCCAUAGCCACUAUGCCUCAAGAUCUCCAUACCAAGAUCCCGAUCAGAAACUUUUAUCUCCCAGCCUCCAGAUAAGUGACCCUUCCAAUUCUGGAUUGUAGUUCAUUCCAAAUAUAGUCAAGUUGACAACCAGACAUACAGAAGCCUGGUUCUGGUCAUUUUUAGAGACAUAUUUGAAAGUUAGCUACAGUUCUCUAUGAUGCAAUGUUAGCAAUAGACUGAGACAGGAUAUAGUAAAUAUUAAAGCUAGGUUAGCAGAAAUUUCAUAUUUGGACACUUGGAACAUUGAUGAAUUGGCCAGAGAUUUAGAGAAUAACCUAAGUGCUUUGAAUCCCUUGGAUUGGGUUCAAAAUAUAAUCUUGCUUGCUAUUAUUAUUGACAUUAUUUUAUUAGUAAUUGUUGUGUUUCCACUCAUUCUUAGAGUUCUUCUGAGAUCUGUAGCAAUGGCAAGGCAGGACGUGUGGAGUCCCCUUCUAAAAGAUAAAGGAAAGGAGGAAAUGCCACACCCACUCUAGUAGUGACUCGAUUGACAGGGCUAGAAACCUGGAUGCAGUCCUGAGGCGAAAAAUUCACGGAAACUUAGUCUCCUGGAACUGUGGCAUCCUAUAUAAUGGAUGCUCCAAACUUGUCCUUGUGAAUGGAUCUGUGUGCUUUCUCUCAGUAUGGUUUUAUUAUAGGUGCCUCCAAGCAAUGACUUUCCAAAUACCUAAGCAAAAUCAAACUUUGCUUCCUGGCCUUCACCAGUGCCCUAGAUAGUCCUUGAGCCGACCCUGGGCUUAGAAUUCAGUAAGAAUGUUGCCUAUUCAGUGACAUUCAGAAUUGCCUCUAGUAUUGUAAGAGAGAUAGUGAAAGAAAUCAGGCAUUAACUACCUAUUACAUAGAGUUAGAAAUCUCAGGGCAAGUUUGGCAAAGUGUCUUAGUCAGGGUUUCUAUUCCUGCACAAACAUCUUGACCAAGAAGCAAGUUGGGGAGGAAAGGGUUUAUUCGGCUUACACUUCCACAUUGCUGUUCAUCACCAAAGGCAGUCAGGACUGGAACUCAAGCAGGUCAGGAAGCAGGAGCUGAUGCAGAGGGCAUGGAGGGAUAUUACUUACUCCCUUGCUUUCCCUGGCUUGCUCAGUCUGCUCUCUUAUAGAACCAAGACUACCAGCCCAGAGAUGGUCCCACUCACAAGGGGCUUUUCCCCCAUGAUCACUAAUUGAGAAAAUGCCUUACAGCUGGAUCUCAUGGAGGCAUUUCCUCAACUGAAGCUCCUUUCUCUGUGAUUACUCCAGCUGUGUCAAGUUGACACAAAACUAUCCAGUACACAAAGCAAGUUUAGAAUUCUUAUUGUAGUUAAUUAUGGCAGACUACAUUACUCAUUAGUAGAAAGUCCCCCCCCCCCACACACACACGAUCACUUAGAAUAAAAGCUGAGCCACUCACAUAUACAGGAAUUUACAAUGCUUUAGGAAGUAUAUCUGGCUGUAAUUUGAGGAGGAACUAGAAUAUUGCAUUAUUUUUGAGAAGGUUAGCUAGAGCAGAACUUCCUAAUUAGAACCAUGACUUGGGCAUGAAAGUCCUUGCCCCAGGAGUGUAAAGACCUUACACCUGGCUUCUAAGAAUAUGGCAGACCUUAGAGCUGACUUUGUCUCAGUUGUUUUAUUGCCCAGUUCCUGCCAGUCUUUAUGUUUGCAUUCCUCUGUUUUGUGUAAGGGUCAUUAAGCAUCUAGUAACCUCAGUGUACCUUGCUGAAGUGUCACCUAACUUCCCUAUUUUCUUCUGUAUUAAAAGUCUGGUGUUCAAUUUGACAAAUUGCAUUCAGAUACAGC